UGAACCAUUCUGCAGCAUGGCUG
rnacentral:miRNA from 8 species